rnacentral:rRNA from 1 species
AGUGAACGCUGGCGGUAGGCCUAACACAUGCAAGUCGAACGGCAGCACAGUAAGAGCUUGCUCUUACGGGUGGCGCGUGGCGGACGGGUGAGGAAUACAUCGGAAUCUACUUUUUCGUGGGGGAUUACGUAGGGAAACUUACGCUAAUACCGCAUACGACCUACGGGUGAACGCAGGGGUUCUUCGGACCUUGCGCGAUUGAUUGAGCCGAUAUCGGAUUAGCUAGUAGUCGGGGUAAAGGACCACCAAGGCGACGAUCCGUAGCUGGUCUGCGAGGAUGAUCAGCCACACUGGAACGGAGACACGGUCCAGACUCCUACGGGAGGCAGCAGUGGGGAAUAUUGGACAAUGGGCGCAAGCCUGAUCCAGCCAUACCGCGUGGGUGAAGAAGGCCUUCGGGUUGUAAAGCCCUUUUGUUGGGAAAGAAAAGCAGCAGGUUAAUACCCCGCUGUUCUGACGGUACCCAAAGAAUAAGCACCGGCUAAGUUCGUG